rnacentral:rRNA from 2 species
GGACAAGAAUAGGCUUCGGCUUAGCGUCUCAGCAGGCGGAUUCUCCGCGGCGCAGGAAGCGCGUCGCGGUAUUUCGCGUAUUGUAAUUUCAACACGAGCGGGGUCAAAUCCUUUGCAGACGACUUAGCUGUGCGAAACGGUCCUGUAAGCAGUAGAGUAGCCUUGUUGUUACGAUCUGCUGAGGGUAAGCCGUCCUUCGCCUCGAUUU